UUAUAUACUUAGUGGCGGACGGGUGAGUAACGCGUGGGCAACCUGCCCCGUGCCGGGGGAUACCGCCUGGAAACAGGCGCUAAUACCGCAUAAGCGCAUACAGCCGCAUGGGUGUAUGCGGAAAGCUCCGGCGGCACGGGAUGGGCCCGCGCCCGAUUAGCCAGUUGGCGGGGUAACGGCCCACCAAAGCGACGAUCGGUAGCCGGCCUGAGAGGGCGGACGGCCACAUUGGGACUGAGACACGGCCCAAACUCCUACGGGAGGCAGCAG
rnacentral:rRNA from 1 species